rnacentral:lncRNA from 1 species
GAAGAUUUAAUUUCAACUCAGAUAUAUUUGGUUCUUUAGAAAACCAUGAGAGAAAAGGAAGGCAGCAUAGCAAAGGGUAUGACACAAAGUAUUCACUCUGAAAUUGAUACUCAAAGUAAUUUCUAUACCAGGGAAAAAAACAACAUGUUGAAUUUCAAGUCAUUUAUUUAGAAGACUGGGGAAGAAGAGAGCAAUGAAUUACCAAAAAGAUGCUCUAACAACGGAGCUGCUACAUGAAGGUUCUUGAUAAUAUUUUUCCAAGCAAUAUUUAGAAGAAUUAAGAGACCUCUAGUAUGACUUUAUGGGCAGCUUUAUUCUGAAGCCAUUCUAUGAACAUUUUCAAAUGGUAAGAAUCACAGGGGCAGGGAAAAA